AUUGAACGCUGGCGGCAUGCCUUACACAUGCAAGUCGAACGGUAACAGGUCUUCGGAUGCUGACGAGUGGCGAACGGGUGAGUAAUGCAUCGGAACGUGCCCAGUAGUGGGGGAUAGCCCGGCGAAAGCCGGAUUAAUACCGCAUACGACCUGAGGGUGAAAGGGGGGGAUCGCAAGACCUCUCGCUAUUGGAGCGGCCGAUGUCAGAUUAGCUAGUUGGUGGGGUAAAGGCCUACCAAGGCAACGAUCUGUAGUUGGUCUGAGAGGACGACCAGCCACACUGGGACUGAGACACGGCCCAGACUCCUACGGGAGGCAGCAGUGGGGAAUUUUGGACAAUGGGCGCAAGCCUGAUCCAGCAAUGCCGCGUGCAGGAAGAAGGCCUUCGGGUUGUAAACUGCUUUUGUCAGGGAAGAAAUCUUCUGGGUUAAUACCCUGGGCUAAUGACGGUACCGUAAGAAUAAGCACCGGCUAACUACGUGCCAGCAGCCGCCGUAAGAC
rnacentral:rRNA from 1 species